rnacentral:sRNA from 1 species
GCCGUGUGCGGUGGCCCGCGCCUGUAAUCCCAGUGGCUCUGGAGGCUGAGGCAGGAGGAUCGUGAGUUCAAAGCCAGCCUCAGCUACUUAGCAAGCCCUAAGCAACUCAUUGAGACUUUGUCUCUA